AAUAUUAAACACUCUCACUCUCACAAAUCUCUCUUACACACACUCUCACAAAUCUCUGUAAAACUCGCUUACACCCACUCUCACACACACUCACCACUCAUAAGUCUCACAAAUCUCUGCAAAAUCUCGCACACGCUCAUCUCUCUCUUUCACCACUCAUCUCUCUCUCUCAAUCUCCCUCAAUCUCUCUCUCGGCGCAUCUCUCUCUUUCACCACUCAUCUCUCUCAAUCUCUCUCUCUCGGGUCAUCUUUCUCGCUUGGAGAGCAAAAAGAUAACGAUUUUCUCAAGAAAAGAGCUAUUCUUUUUAUGGGUAUUUCGAUUUUUUCAAUGCUUAAGUUCAGAGGUUAUGUUGUGCUCCUGGAUGAUGUUAAAAACCUUCUUGGAUCAGUACUUGGCAAGUUUGACUAAAAAGAUCUGAGAUCAGCUUGCAUAUAAGAUGGAAGAAAAAAAGAAUCCAAAACUCAAGUUUGAUAUUGAAGACCUAAGUGUCGAACCAACUUAUGAUGCAUGCAUGCCUAUUCAAGUAGAGCCAACACUGCUAACACGGAGACUACUUUAUUUGUGAUGCACUUAGAUAAUCUAACCAUAUUUUGCAAAGUUUAACUUGUAAUGUAAUUACUUCUUAAGAAUUUUAUGACUUUGAACUGCUAUUUCACUUGGAUGGUUAAAUUAUGGUUGUUGCAAAAUUUGGAUGUUUGGUGUAUGGUUGAAUCAGAAUUUGUGAUUGGUUGGCUUGAUUUGUUUUGGGAUGUUUCAUUUUAGAUA